GUUCCCUGAUGGUAAGCGAUGAGUUUAUAAGGUCCGUUAUAAACUGCUGACACUUCGUUUUGAGACUUUGCGAUAUACGUACCGACUGGAUAUACUCCCCCUCCCAUGUCUUCAGUGUUGUCUCCAGGCCUUUCUGUGCUGCCUCCCCCGACAGAGUAUCUUCUGGUUCGUCCAUUUCCCCAUCUGACUCUAUAUCCGCCAUCGCCUUCAGUGACCCCAAUCCCUUCUGCUCCAACACAUAGUUCAGAGCUUUCUCCUCUCUCAGUUUCUGCCAAUUGUAUAUCCCCGUCUCGUCUUGACCCUUCGGUAUUGGCUUCCUCGUCAGUUGAGAGUGUUGGUUCUCGUCGUCCGAGUCCGCAUUUGUUAAAACACGCUUCAUUUUUAAAGUGAACAACGGGAUAUAUUUGCUUACUUUUAAGUUUCUCCUCGAUGUCUGCCCUGGUUAUGAUGUGGUAGUAGUAUACUGUCUUGGUGUUCAUAGUCGACAGUACCGAUCCUACGCCCGGCCAUAAUAAAAAUGUGUGAGAAAAAAAGAAGUGCCUGGAACGGAAACAAACAUUCCAAACUGGGGGUGGUCCACCACCUGCUACUGACCCACCAACUGGUGAUGACAUAGCAGUGUGGCUCCCUCAUGAGUUUACUGUAGACUCAAAUGAGUUUGAUUCGGAUAACCAGGUACAUCAAAGAUACACAUACUUGUUCAAUAAGUAUUCCAUCUGCUGUAAAGAAAUAUGUAUAUAACUAUAUUAAUUCUUGUUUCAGCUAUUAACUGACAAUAAAAUGGAACACCCAAUUCUAGUCCCUAAAUCACCACUUCUCUGUGAGAAUCCUGAACCAGAAAUAGACAUGAUGUCGCAACCAGGCACAUCUACGAAGACCACACACAACACACCAACAAGUGACACCAGCAAUUACCUCUAAACAACUAGACAUACAACAGAUCACCACCACACCAACAAAGAAAAAAGUAAAGAGUCCGAAUUGUAAAUUAAAACAUAAACUGGUAUAUUAUUUUUAUCUUUAUUAUUUUUUUUAUCCUAAUACAUACCUAUAGUAAAUAAUAUUUAUAUCUGUUUGUGGCACUUAAAUCAAGAUUUAGUAUAGACAUGUAAUCUGAAUAAUCAAUUGAGG
rnacentral:misc_RNA from 1 species